AGUGAACGCUGGCGGUAGGCCUAACACAUGCAAGUCGAACGGCAGCACAGUAAGAGCUUGCUCUUACGGGUGGCGAGUGGCGGACGGGUGAGGAAUACAUCGGAAUCUACUUUUUCGUGGGGGAUAACGUAGGGAAACUUACGCUAAUACCGCAUACGACCUACGGGUGAAAGCAGGGGAUCUUCGGACCUUGCGCGAUUGAAUGAGCCGAUGUCGGAUUAGCUAGUUGGCGGGGUAAAGGCCCACCAAGGCGACGAUCCGUAGCUGGUCUGAGAGGAUGAGAACCCACCGGGGAAGGGAGCCAGGGUCAGGACCCCGGCGGGGGGCAGCAGGGGGGAAUGUUGGAAAAGGGGCGCAAGCCUGACCCAGCCAUCCCGGGGGGGGAAAGAGGGCCUUGGGGUGGAAAAGCCUUUUUGUGGGAAAAAAAAAGCAGGAGUUUAAACCCCCGGUGUUCUGAGGGUACCAAAAAAAAAAGCACGGGCUAACUUCGGG
rnacentral:rRNA from 1 species